UCGGACAGUCCAGAAGAUCAGCCAAGUACUGGAAUUUUGGGCCGUAUUGGUUACUGGUUGUCUCCGUGGAGGGGAAGAGCUUCUGUGCCACCUUCUGAAAAUGACUCUUCAAGUGGUAGUUUUGCUGAUGAAACAGGAGGGGAGGAUGGUGAGGAAUCAGUGAGAAUCCCGGACAGAGAGGAGCAGGAGACAUAUUCAAACUUAGAGAAUUUUCUCCCGUGUGAAGAGGAGAACGCCACGCAGUCUGCCCACAGACACUACACUGCAGAGAGCAGCAGAAGAGGAGGAGGAGGUCCAAAAGAGGAGGAGCUUGUGGUGUGCCGGGAGCACAAAACAGGGCAGGGCAACGAGAGGGAGGAGAGAGGCAGCGGUGCUUCAGAAAGUGGGAAUCAUGUGAAGAAUGUCUGUCAUCUGACAAAUCUCUUUACCUCUACACCAGAAGUGGUGUGGAACUUUGACCAGGACCCCACCCAGCCUCGCCCACCACAGCACGCACAGGUUCAGUCUGAUAAGAGGCUCCAUGUGUACUUAGAGGAGACCAGUGUCAUACACUGUGGCAAAGAUUUGAGUGUGGGGCAGGAAGUUGUCACAACCACAUUUAAAAAAGAUCUGCACGUUCCUCCCAAGGCUAAGUCAUCUUCUAAUUUAGCUGCAAAUGCAGAGUUAAAUGCGAGAUCUGCUGCUGGAGUGCAGAGUUCUGACAGCACUGUAGUGGGAGUGUCAGUGAAGCCACCGGAAGACUCGCAGUCGGAGCCUCAUAAGGAACAAACAGAGGAAGACGGCAUGGGUCGAAAAAGCAGAAAAAAAUUAAGGAGAAAAUCCCAAGGAGACGGAGGAAGCAGACUCUCAGAAAACCCUGCAGAGGACCCCUCAUCAUGUAACUCAGUGUCCAGUCCCCAAAGCGAAAAUCCAACUUCCCCCACAGGGGAGGCAUGUGAAGGCCCCUCCUUCAAGACAAACUCCACCUCACAGGCCGCACCUGAAGAAGGAGGGCAAAUUGAAACUGUUUGUCCAGGCGACGUAAAACAGUUGGGCAACCUCAGGAAUUCAAUCUCUGUCACUGCAGCCACUAACGCAUGUGAAGAGAAUGAAGGUGCCGAAAUGGAGGAAGAAAGCAGUUUAUACAAGGUAGAGAGGAAGACAGAAACGCCGGAGUCAAAACGGAGGAGUAUCAAAGUUUCUACCUGUGAAGUGAAGAAUUAUUCAAAAGUUCUGCCUUUAAAUCAGAAGCAGAAUCAACUGGAAAACCACCAGGAAACGAAUGCAGAACGUUUGACCACCGAAGAUGAAGAAAAGAACCAGGCGGGAACCUUUUUGGACUCAAGGUAUGUCAAAGUUCCAAUGGCGAACAAUUUGCUUUAA
rnacentral:lncRNA from 1 species